AGGCCCUGAGGAGAAGUGGGCUGGGUUUCUGGUCUGUUCUGGGUGCUUCUCUCCCGUGAGCUCUGCCGCCGCGAGGCGUCGACGUCUCCUGCUCUCCCCUGAGCCGCCCUCGAACGACGUACCUUCCAAGCACAGUGGCAGAAAUGGGAAGGCCAUUUUGGGAAGAAAGAAGAUGGGGCAGAUGUGCAGAGGAGUGGGGUCUUGAGCAUUGUAAACCCAGAAAUGCCUGGACAUCCAUGGAAAUCCUCAACAAGUGCUGUGGAAGAAUGGAAAACAUGAAGUCGGGUAGCAGAGGAUUCAUGUGGGAGGGAACCCUGCCCCCUACAAGCUGUGCGGACUUGGGUAAAGCAGCAGAAGAUGGCCCACAUCCUUGGCCCCUGCACUCCUGUGAGAGACUUGGAUGGAGUUCCAGGCUCCCGCCUUCAACCUGGCCCAGCUGCAACCAUUGUGGCCAUUUGGAGAGUGAACCAGUAGAAGAAAGAUCUUUUUCUGUCACUUUGACUUUAAGAUAAACUUUUAAAAACGAAAUAAACUAAUGUUCUUGUCAUCAGGACUGUGUGUGUCCUGUUUCAGGGAGAGAGGGGAUGCUUCUGGGCUUUUGGCGGUUAUGUGGUGCGCUGACUACUUCUGAAAAAACUUGAAGGGUGGCCCGUGGCAGGCCAUUGCUGCUUCUGGAAUUUGCCACAGGGGGACCUCUCUUCCCCACAAAGGUCACGGGUGAUGAAUGGGACGUGGUGAGUCUUCUGGUGAGUGCAUUGCUUGCCUGUUGUCACCAUAGUAAUGCCCACUGUAUGAUGUGCUGCUGAUGGGAAGGGAGAACGGCCUUGUCUUUUCUGAAAUUCGGCCUCUUUGUUUCCACUGUGGCUGCUGCAUUGGAUCAUUUCCAGUGACUCUACCAGGAAAAAAGGAUUUCCAAUCGGAUGUUUAGAACUGGGGCAACGUAACGGGGCUAUUCAGAGGCGCCCAUCAGACAACAGAGCCAAGGUAUGACUUCAGAGACAGCUGGGAAGAGGAAGGAAUCAAAGCAGGAGAACUGCAGGCAUUCUAAUAACAAAAACUCUAGUCUCCUUCAGUGAUAGCAAUUAGAAAUGCGAUCUGCUGUAAGUAAAAGAAAAAGCCAGAGGGAGUUUGAGCAAGAUCAUCUUCACCUGUCAGACUAGCACUUGCUGCUGCUCAGGGUGCUUCGGUGGCUCAGCAAUGACUGGCCAGAACUUCUUGGUGUUUUUGUGACAAGUCCCUCCUGGCCACAAGAUGCCUGCGUGCUUC